rnacentral:rRNA from 1 species
ACGGGUGAGUAACACGUGGGCAAUCUGCCCUGCACUCUGGGACAAGCCCUGGAAACGGGGUCUAAUACCGGAUACAACCACUGACCGCAUGGUCGGGUGGUGGAAAGCUCCGGCGGUGCAGGAUGAGCCCGCGGCCUAUCAGCUUGUUGGUGAGGUAGUGGCUCACCAAGGCGACGACGGGUAGCCGGCCUGAGAGGGCGACCGGCCACACUGGGACUGAGACACGGCCCAGACUCCUACGGGAGGCAGCAGUGGGGAAUAUUGCACAAUGGGCGAAAGCCUGAUGCAGCGACGCCGCGUGAGGGAUGACGGCCUUCGGGUUGUAAACCUCUUUCAGCAGGGAAGAAGCGAAAGUGACGGUACCUGCAGAAGAAGCGCCGGCUAACUACGUGCCAGCAGCCGCGGUAAUACGUAGGGCGCAAGCGUUGUCCGGAAUUAUUGGGCGUAAAGAGCUCGUAGGCGGCUUGUCGCGUCGGUUG